UAGUCAAUUUGAUGAGCAUUCAGUUCCUGGUUCAAGUACCCAAAGUUCUCAAACUGUAUUAGUAUAUGAUAGUCCAGCUUCUAGCUCACUAAAAUGAACUCCUGCUCGAAAAAAAUUAUUUGAUAAUGAAAGUUCACCACUGAAACGUAGCCCUAUUUUGUCUUCUCCUCCAAACUUAACAAAAAAACGUAAAUUCUUUAAUGCCCACAAUAUUGGUAAUAUAAAUGUUGAUCAUUUUUGCACACCCAGAAGAGCAGAAAGACAUUUAACAAUGGUAAAGCAAAAAUGUUCUGAAAAACAAAUUAAAACAAAUAAAUUGUAAAUACAGGUAAACAGUCUUCAAAAUAAACUCAACUCAUAUGAAGAUUUAAUUGAAUCAUUAAAGGAUAACCAAUUGUUAUCAGAAAAUGCAGCUAAUCAACUUCAGGUUUGUAUUCCAUAGUCAUGUAUUUGUUUUAAGCUUAUUCAAUAUUAUUAAAAUAGGGUCUUUAAUAUUUUUAAAUAAUAAUUGUGAAUUAUGGCUUUCUUUUAAAUCUAAUUACUAUAUUACUACUUGUUUUUAUAUGAUUUUUUUUAUAUUUUAACAAACUUAACGACCACUAAACAUGAAGUGAACUAAUUGUGAAGUUAUUGAACCGGUAUAGUUAAAAGGUUAUUUGUUAUAUUUGUUUACCUGUAAUAAAAAUGUCUUAAGAUUU